rnacentral:misc_RNA from 1 species
GAAAUGCGAUAACUAGUGUGAAUUGCAGAAUUCCGUGAAUCAUCGAGUCUUUGAACGCACAUUGCGCCCCCUGGUAUUCCGGGGGGCAUGUCUGUCCGAGCGUCAUUGCUGCCCAUCAAGCACGGCUUGUGUGUUGGGUCGUCGUCCCCUCUCCGGGGGGGACGGGCCCCAAAGGCAGCGGCGGCACCGCGUCCGAUCCUCGAGCGUAUGGGGCUUUGUCACCCGCUCUGUAGGCCCGGCCGGCGCUUGCCGAACGCAAAUCAAUCUUUUUCCAGGUUGACCUCGGAUCAGGUAGGGAUACCCGCUGAACUUAAGC